CACGUAGGGGGCAAGCGUUGUCCGGAUUUAUUGGGCGUAAAGAGCUCGUAGGUGGUUCGGUAAGUCGGGUGUGAAACCUCCAGCUCAACCUGGAGACGCCACCCGAUACUGCUGUGACUGGAGUCCGGUAGGGGAGCGUGGAAGUUCCUGGUGUAGCGGUGGAAAUGCGUAGAUAUCGGAAGGAACACCAGUGGCGAAAGCGGCUUCCUGGUCCAGCACCGACGUUCAGGCACGAAAGCGUGGGGAGCAAACAGG
rnacentral:rRNA from 1 species